rnacentral:rRNA from 1 species
GACGAACGCUGGCGGCGUGCUUAACACAUGCAAGUCGAACGAGAAUCUACUGAAAGAGUUUUCGGACAAUGGAUGUAGAGGAAAGUGGCGGACGGGUGAGUAACGCGUGAGGAACCUGCCUUGAAGAGGGGGGACAACAGUUGGAAACGACUGCUAAUACCGCAUGAAGCAUAGGGGUCGCAUGAUCUUUAUGCCAAAGAUUUAUCGCUUCAAGAUGGCCUCGCGUCUGAUUAGCUAGUUGGCGGGGUAACGGCCCACCAAGGCGACGAUCAGUAGCCGGACUGAGAGGUUGAACGGCCACAUUGGGACUGAGAUACGGCCCAGACUCCUACGGGAGGCAGCGGUGGGGGAUAUUGCGCAAUGGGGGCAACCCUGACGCAGCAACGCCGCGUGAAGGAUGAAGGUUUUCGGAUUGUAAACUUCUUUUAUUAAGGACGAAUAAUGACGGUACUUAAUGAAUAAGCUCCGGCUAACUACGUG